UGGGGAAUAUUGGACAAUGGGCGCAAGCCUGAUCCAGCCAUGCCGCGUGAGUGAUGACGGCCUUAGGGUUGUAAAGCUCUUUUAACAGGGACGAUAAUGACGGUACCUGUAGAAUAAGCCCCGGCAAACUUCGUGCCAGCAGCCGCGGUAAUACGAAGGGGGCUAGCGUUGUUCGGAAUUACUGGGCGUAAAGCGCACGUAGGCGGAUUGUUAAGUCGGGGGUGAAAUCCUGAGGCUCAACCUCAGAACUGCCUUCGAUACUGGCGAUCUUGAGUUCGGAAGAGGUUGGUGGAACAGCUAGUGUAGAGGUGAAAUUCGUAGAUAUUAGCUAGAACACCAGUGGCGAAGGCGGCCAACUGGUCCGAUACUGACGCUGAGGUGCGAAAGCGUGGGGAGCAAACAGG
rnacentral:rRNA from 1 species